rnacentral:misc_RNA from 1 species
CGCACAUUGCGCCCCUUGGUAUUCCGAGGGGCAUGCCUGUUCGAGCGUCAUUUCACCAAUCAAGCCUGGCUUGGUAUUGGGCGCCAGGCCCGCCCCCCGCGGCGGGCCCGCCCGAAAUGCAUCGGCGAGGAGACCGACCCCCGGCGUGUUAAGAAUCUCAAAAUUCGAACGUCGGGAGCACCGGUGGCCUCCGCCGCAACCUCUCAUCAAAGGUUGACCUCGGAUCAGGUAGGGAUACCCGCUGAACUUAA